ensembl:lncRNA
CAGCAAAGGGGGGACCAACUCCAUAUUAAUGCCUUCCCAGAAGAGUGGAGGCUGUUAUAGCAGCAAAGGGGGGUCCAACUCCAUAUUAAAGCCUUCCCAGAAGAGUGGAGGCUGUUAUAGCAGCAAAGGGGGGACCAACUCCAUAUUAAAGCCUUCCCAGAAGAGUGGAGGCUGUUAUAGCAGCAAAGGGGGGACCAACUCCAUAUUAAUGACUUCCCAGAAGAGUGGAGGCUGUUAUAGCAGCAAAGGGGGACCAACUCCAUAUUAAUGCCUUCCCAGAAGAGUGGAGGCUGUUAUAGCAGCAAAGGGGGGGGGGACCAACUCCAUAUUAAUGACUUCCCAGAAGAGUGGAGGCUGUUAUAGCAGCAAAGGGGGA